AACCUUUGCUGUCUUGGGACGGAUCACCGCUGCAAGAGGGGAAGUUGCUACUGUGAUGAAUUCUGCCAUGUGGCACCAGACUGCCACCCAGACCACAGUGUCCUCUGCAACCCUGGUAACUCACAUACAGGCCCGAUUCCACCUACAGCAAAGCUGGAUGCGAUGGCUGGCAGAGGCAAACCCUUUGCCUGCACUUCAGGCCAAAGCCGGGAUGUGGCCUAGAUGGUUCCUAAGGUCCCUGACAAUCCUGAGAUCUUGCAUCUUGUCUAUUUCAGGUCAAAGGUGCCUACAUGCUCCUUCUAGCUUUGUUUCCCUGAUGUUCCUUGCCACCUGCUACUCCUCUCUGAGCUACUUUUCCAGGUUCCACAGGGAGAGGUUCAGCUGUCCGUGGUAGACAUGAGGGUAGAGAAUGAGGUGGUUGGGUUCCACUUACCUUUCUAUCAUCUUGCAGUAUGGAUGUCUCUUGACUGGUACCGUGUAGACUUUUGAGGGCACACAGGAGUCUGCAGAGAGAUACUGGGGACAUUGAGCAGCAGCAGUGGGGUUGGGAGGCAGAAAUGAGGACAGGAACAUUUACCUUGUGUUUCUCUCAGCUUCUCAGAUGACCAAGAUGGUGCUGCAGAUGGUGCUGAGGAUGGAGAACCCACCAAGCCCCGCUAGGAGCCACCUAGACUGGAUGCAGAGCAUGGCCCAUCAGAAACUCAAAAGAAUGCGACCUUUGUCUCUCACCCACCUGUGACCUGGAAGCUUUCUCCUGGCUGCGAGUUGUCCCACAUUUGCUUGGCGUUGCCCGGCCUUUUCCAGACUGAACCAAUGUUCAUCUUACAUGUGUUGAUUGAUGUCUCAUGUCUCCCUAAAACGUAUGACCACCUUGGCACAUGUCGUCAGGACAUCCUGAGGCUGUGUCACGGGUGUGCAUCUUCAACCUUGGAACAAUAAACUUUCUAAAUUAACU
ensembl:lncRNA MUC20-OT1 MUC20 overlapping transcript